rnacentral:snRNA from 1 species
AGAUGUGUUGUGUGGUGAUGUCAUAAAAGUGGUUUUCCCAGGAGGAGACUCAUCCAUUGCACUUUGGGUGUGCUGCUGAUCCCUGUGAUUUCCCCAAAUGUGGGGAACUCAACUGCAUAAUUUGUGUUAAUGGGGGAUUGCCCUUGUGAUUUCCCUGG